rnacentral:rRNA from 1 species
GACGAACGCUGGCGGCGUGCUUAACACAUGCAAGUCGAACGGAAAGGCCCUGCUUUUGUGGGGUGCUCGAGUGGCGAACGGGUGAGUAACACGUGAGUAACCUGCCCUUGACUUUGGGAUAACUUCAGGAAACAGGGGCUAAUACCGGAUAGGAGCUCCUGCUGAAUGGUGGGGGUGGGAAAGUUUCGGUGGUUGGGGAUGGACUCGCGGCUUAUCGGCUUGUUGGUGGGGUAGUGGCUUACCAAGGCUUUGACGGGUAGCCUGCCUGAGAGGGUGACCGGCCACAUUGGGACUGAGAUACGGCCCAGACUCCUACGGGAGGCAGCAGUGGGGAAUAUUGCACAAUGGGCGGAAGCCUGAUGCAGCAACGCCGCGUGCGGGAUGACGUCCUUCGGGUUGUAAACCGCUUUCGCCUGUGACGAAGCGUGAGUGACGGUAAUGGGUAAAGAAGCACCGGCUAACUACGUG